rnacentral:sRNA from 1 species
CAAAAAAAACCAAAAA